AUUGAACGCUGGCGGAAUGCUUUACACAUGCAAGUCGAACGGCAGCACGGGGGCAACCCUGGUGGCGAGUGGCGAACGGGUGAGUAAUACAUCGGAACGUGCCCAGUCGUGGGGGAUAACGUAGCGAAAGUUACGCUAAUACCGCAUACGAUCUACGGAUGAAAGCGGGGGACCGUAAGGCCUCGCGCGAUUGGAGCGGCCGAUGUCAGAUUAGGUAGUUGGUGAGGUAAAGGCUCACCAAGCCGACGAUCUGUAGCUGGUCUGAGAGGACGAACAGCCACACUGGGACUGAGACACGGCCUAGACUCCUACGGGAGGCAGCAGUGGGGAAUUUUGGACAAUGGGCGCAAGCCUGAUCCAGCCAUUCCGCGUGCAGGACGAAGGCCUUCGGGUUGUAAACUGCUUUUGUACGGAACGAAAAGGCUCUGGUUAAUACCUGGGGCUCAUGACGGUACCGUAAGAAUAAGCACCGGCUAACUACGUGCCAGCCGCCGCAGUAA
rnacentral:rRNA from 1 species